rnacentral:rRNA from 1 species
GACGAACCGUGCGAACGUUAUUCGGAUUCAUUGGGCUUAAAGGGCGCGUAGGCGGACAGGCAAGUCAGGGGUGAAAUCCCACGGCUCAACCGUGGAAGUGCCUUUGAUACUGCCGGUCUCGAGGGAGGUAGGGGCGUGCGGAACUUCCGGUGGAGCGGUGAAAUGCGUAGAUAUCGGAAGGAACACCGGUGGCGAAAGCGGCGCGCUGGACCUCUUCUGACGCUGAGGCGCGAAAGCCAGGGGAGCAAACGGG